GAUGAAGAACGUAGCGAAAUGCGAUAAGUAAUGUGAAUUGCAGAAUUCAGUGAAUCAUCGAAUCUUUGAACGCACAUUGCGCCCCCUGGUAUUCCGGGGGGCAUGCCUGUUCGAGCGUCAUUUCAACCCUCAAGCACAGCUUGGUGUUGGGACUCGCGUUAAUUCGCGUUCCCCAAAUUGAUUGGCGGUCACGUCGAGCUUCCAUAGCGUAGUAGUAAAACCCUCGUUACUGGUAAUCGUCGCGGCCACGCCGUUAAACCCCAACUUCUGAAUGUUGACCUCGGAUCAGGUAGGAAUACCCGCUGAACUUAAGCAUAUCAAUAAGCGGAGGA
rnacentral:misc_RNA from 1 species